GCGCGCCGCAGCAGCGCCGCCUUCCCUGCGCAGUCGGUGUCUCCGCGUCGCUGGGCCAUUUACAAGAUGGUUUCGUCCGUGAUGAAGAUGCCGGAGGACGAGUCGACCCCGGAAAAGAGGACUGAGAAAAUCUUCCGCCAAAUGGACACAAACAACGACGGCAAGCUGUCCUUGGAGGAGUUCAUCCGCGGGGCCAAAAGCGACCCAUCCAUCGUGCGUCUGCUGCAGUGCGACCCCAGCAGCGCCUCCCAGUUCUGAGAGGAGCCAGGUUCCCCUUCCUCCCUCCCUUCACCGGCCCCCUCCCGGCUCUUAGCUUCCACUCCCUUGUGUGUAUUCUGGCUGGGGGCCAGAUUGGGGAAGCCCUUCUCCCCGGGUCUGCCCUGUGGGGGGCUUCCGGAAAAGGGAACCCUGCGGUACCCCCAGGCCAAAGCAAGUAAGCGGUUAGCACCCCCCAAUCCCAGAGGCAACAAUAGAGACACAGGCUGGGUUGGUCUGCCCCUCAGUCAGGCCCCCUUACCCACCCACCAGCCCCGAGGCCA
rnacentral:sRNA from 1 species